rnacentral:rRNA from 1 species
GACGAACGCUGGCGGCGUGCUUAACACAUGCAAGUCGAACGGUGAAGCGCCUUCCUUUUUGGUGGGUGUGGAUGAGUGGCGAACGGGUGAGUAACACGUGAGUAACCUGCCCCCUUCUUCUGGAUAACCGCAUGAAAGUGUGGCUAAUACGGGAUAUUCUGGGUCUGUCGCAUGAUGGGUCUGGGAAAGAUAUUGUUUCGGUGGGGGAUGGGUUCGCGGCCUAUCAGCUUGUUGGUGGGGUGAUGGCCUACCAAGGCGGUGACGGGUAGCCGGCCUGAGAGGGUGGACGGUCACACUGGGACUGCGACACGGCCCAGCCUCCUACGGGAGGCAGCAGUGGGGAAUAUUGCACAAUGGGCGCAAGCCUGAUGCAGCGACGCCGCGUGAGGGAUGGAGGCCUUCGGGUUGUGAACCUCUUUCGCCAGUGAAGCAGGCCUGCCUCGUUUGUGGGUGGGUUGACGGUAGCUGGAUAAGAAGCGCCGGCUAACUACGUG